GCUGUCCCCCGUGUCCCCCGUGUGUCCCCAGCGAUGCCCCAGGCCGUGCAGGGCUGGUGUCCCCAUCCCCCACAGUGACCCCAGUGUCCCUGUGUCCCCAGUGUCCCUGUGACCCCAGUGUCCCUGUGUGUCCCCAGGGUGCAGGGCUGGUGUCCCUGUCCCCCAGUGACCCGUGUCCCUGUGUCCCCAGUGUCCCAGUGUCCCCAGGGUGCAGGGCUGGUGUCCCUGUCCCCCAGUGACCCGUGUCCCAGUGUCCCCAGUGUCCCUGUGUGUCCCCAAUGUCCCUGUGUCCCCAAUGUCCCUGUGUGUCCC
rnacentral:lncRNA from 12 species